GAUGAACGCUGGCGGCGUGCCUAAUACAUGCAAGUCGAGCGAACGGACGAGAAGCUUGCUUUUCUGAUGUUAGCGGCGGACGGGUGAGUAACACGUGGAUAACCUACCUAUAAGACUGGGAUAACUUCGGGAAACCGGAGCUAAUACCGGAUAAUAUUUUGAACCGCAUGGUUCAAAAGUGAAAGACGGUCUUGCUGUCACUUAUAGAUGGAUCCGCGCUGCAUUAGCUAGUUGGUAAGGUAACGGCUUACCAAGGCAACGAUGCAUAGCCGACCUGAGAGGGUGAUAGGCCACACUGGAACUGAGACACGGUCCAGACUCAUACGGGAGGCAGCAGUAGGGAAUCUUCCGCAAUGGGCGAAAGCCUGACGGAGCAACGCCGCGUGAGUGAUGAAAGUCUUCGGAUCGUAAAACUCUGUUAUUAGGGAAGAACAUAUGUGUAAGUACCUGUGCACAUCUUGACGGUACCUAAUCAGAAAGCCACGGCUAACUACGU
rnacentral:rRNA from 1 species